rnacentral:rRNA from 1 species
AUUGAACGCUGGCGGCAUGCCUUACACAUGCAAGUCGAACGGCAGCACGGGAGCAAUCCUGGUGGCGAGUGGCGAACGGGUGAGUAAUAUAUCGGAACGUGCCCGGUCGUGGGGAUAACGUAGCGAAAGCUACGCUAAUACCGCAUACGAUCUACGGAUGAAAGCGGGGGAUCGCAAGACCUCGCGCGAUUGGAGCGGCCGAUAUCAGAUUAGGUAGUUGGUGAGGUAAAGGCUCACCAAGCCGACGAUCUGUAGCUGGUCUGAGAGGACGACCAGCCACACUGGGACUGAGACACGGCCCAGACUCCUACGGGAGGCAGCAGUGGGGAAUUUUGGGACAAUGGGCGCAAGCCUGAUCCAGCAAUGCCGCGUGCAGGAUGAAGGCCUCGGUU